CAGAUAUUAGUUUAAAAGAAAAUUUUAAUUUUGGAGAUUAAAGAUAUUAUAUGGUAUAUCUGA
rnacentral:tRNA from 1 species